rnacentral:tRNA from 1 species
UGCCUCUGAUGUGAAUCGAACACACAUCUUUCCCUUUUCAGGGGAACGCUCUAAUCCAUUGAGCUACAAAGGC